UACGUAGGGGGCGAGCGUUAUCCGGAUUCACUGGGCGUAAAGGGAGCGCAGGCGGCACGGCAAGUCCGGUGUGAAAGCCCGGGGCCCAACCCCGGGACUGCACUGGAAACUGCCGGGCUGGAGUGUCGGAGGGGCAGGCGGAAUUCCUAGUGUAGCGGUGAAAUGCGUAGAUAUUAGGAGGAACACCAGUGGCGAAGGCGGCUUACUGGACCGUAACUGACGUUGAGGCUCGAAAGCGUGGGGAGCAAACAGG
rnacentral:rRNA from 1 species